ensembl:snRNA U6 U6 spliceosomal RNA
GUGCUCAUUUUGGCAGCACAUGUACUAAAAUUGGAACAAUGCAGAGAAGAUUAGCAUGGCCCUUGCAUAAGAAUGACACUCAAAUUCAUGAAGCGGUCCAUAUUAAA